GAAAAAUAUUUUAUUGUGUGCAUUAUGUAAUAUCUUGUUUAGCCAUUAAUCAGCUGAUGGACAUUUGAGUUUUUUCCACAUUUAGCUAUUGUGAAUUGUACUGCUAUGAAUAUUUAUAUAUAAGUUUUGUGUAAAACUCCUGUUUUCAGGGUAUAAAUUUUGGGGGUCAUAUAUCUAAGAGUGGAGAUGCUGAGUCAUAUCAUAUUUCUGUGUUUCAUUUUUUUAAGGAACUGCCAAAAUAUUUUCCACAUGAGUUGCACCAUGUUGCAUUCCUACCUGCAAAGUAUGGGAGUUUCACUCUCUUCAGAUCAUCACCAACCAUUGUUAUUUUCUGUUAUAGUUUUUGACAUGGCCAUCCCAACAUCCAGUCAUCCAGGCUGGAGUGCAGUGGUGCAAUCAUGUCUCACUACAGCCUCAACCUCCUGGGCUCAGGUGACCCUCCCGCCUCAGUCGCUCAAGUAGCUGGGACCACAGCUCAUGCUCAACUAAUUUUUUUUUUGUAUUUUUUGUAGAUAUGGGUAUUUGCCAUGUUGCCCAGGCAGGUCUUGAACACGUGGGCUCUAGCAAUCCUUCCUCUUCAGUCUUCCAAAGUUCUGAGAUUAUAGGCAUGAGCCAUCAAAUUACGGUUAUGUAUUGGUUGAUUGGGUUUGCUAGAAUUUUUAACAAAAUUUUUGCAUCUACUUUCAUAAUGAACACAGGUCUGUUAUUUUCUUUCUUAUGAUUCUAUUGUCUUGUUUUGCUUCAGGGUAAUAAUGGCUUCAAAGAAUGAGUUGGCAAGUGUUCUCUUUCCUUCUUUUUUUUUUGGAAGAGUUUGAGAACAAUUGUUAAUUUUUCUUUACAUUUUUGGAAGAAUACAGCAGUCAAACCAUCUGUCUCUUUUAUUGGUAAUUUUAUGAUUAUUGAUUCAAUAUUUUUACUUACUGUGAAUCUAUUCAGACUUUCAAUUAUUUUUACUCAAUUUCAUAGUGUGUGUGUUUCUAGGAAUUUGUUCAUUUUAAUUAAGGAAUU
rnacentral:lncRNA from 1 species